UACAGAGGUGGCAAGCGUUGUUCGGAAUUACUGGGCGUAAAGCGCGUGUAGGCGGCUCUUCAAGUCAGGCGUGAAAGCCCUGGGCUCAACCUGGGAAUGGCAUUGGAAACUGGCGACCUAGAGUGCGGUAGAGGGCAGUGGAAUUCCCGGUGUAGCAGUGAAAUGCGUAGAGAUCGGGAGGAACAUCUGUGGCGAAGGCGGCGUUCUGGACUGCAUCUGACACUGAAAGACGAAAGCCAGGGGAGCAAACGGG
rnacentral:rRNA from 1 species